GCCCCAUAGUCGUGCGAUGUAGGAGUUUGUUUUGUAAGCGUUUGGCUCCGGACAACUUCUUUGCACUGCUUACAGAAAUUUUGACGCUUCUUUACCCGGCAAACUGCUAGAGAUAGCAUGACAGCAGCGAUUGUUAAAAUGAUGAGCAGGACAAGAAUUGGUGUUUGUACACCUUUCAGUGAAGGACAUUUGCUGACUACUACCGCAGAGCCUGUAGCAUCCGGGGGCCUGGAUGUUAUUGCUGUUGCAGCAGCUGUGGUUGCUUUUGCUGUUCCUGUCAAUGGUGAUGAUGAAGGAGCUGAUAGUGGAGAUGUUGACGUAAAACUCUCAUGCGUUGAACUUGAUGGCAGAUUGCUUGAUAUGGGUACACGAGGGGAAGCUCCCGCGGUAACCGUGAGAGUAGUGGUAACAGAAACAAAACUGAUGGAUUCGGCCCUUGCCGACAUUUUUUUAACAGGCGAAGGCUGCGGGCAGGAUGAGGUUGUCGAUG
rnacentral:sRNA from 1 species